rnacentral:rRNA from 1 species
GACGAACGCUGGCGGCGUGCCUAAUACAUGCCAGUAGAACGCUGAAGGAGGAGCUUGCUUCUCCGGAUGAGUUGCGAACGGGUGAGUAACGCGUAGGUAACCUGCCUGGUAGCGGGGGAUAACUAUUGGAAACGAUAGCUAAUACCGCAUAACAGUAGAUAUUGCAUGAUAUCUGCUUGAAAGGUGCAAUUGCAUCACUACCAGAUGGACCUGCGUUGUAUUAGCUAGUUGGUGGGGUAACGGCUCACCAAGGCGACGAUACAUAGCCGACCUGAGAGGGUGAUCGGCCACACUGGGACUGAGACACGGCCCAGACUCCUACGGGAGGCAGCAGUAGGGAAUCUUCGGCAAUGGACGGAAGUCUGACCGAGCAACGCCGCGUGAGUGAAGAAGGUUUUCGGAUCGUAAAGCUCUGUUGUAAGAGAAGAACGAGUGUGAGAGUGGAAAGUUCACACUGUGACGGUAUCUUACCAGAAAGGGACGGCUAACUACGUG